GAGCGAGGGAGGGCGGGAGGAGCAGCGCGCAUGCGCUGGAAAAUGCUUGGAACUGACAAUGGUUAAGUCCGUGCGAGCGAUUGAAAUUCACGGUUGAAACUAUGGGUUCCAUAACACAUGACAAAUCCAAAUGUUUCCUGCACAAUGCUUGCUGAUGAAGAAUGCAAUGAAGAAUCAUAGGCUUGGGACAGCCCACACUUUCACAAGCUUUGUAGAUUUGUCCAACCAAACCUUUUUUUGAACCGCACAUGUUUCUACCUCCAUCGGUUGUAAAGCACUUCAGUUGUUUUCAUUGCAGGUUGUACUGAGAGAGUGAUUUUUCAACUUCUUUGAAAAUCUCUUCACCUGUGAUUGUUCCAUACAUACUAUGCACAGAAGCUAGUUCUUCCGUAACUUCAAAACUACUGCCAAGCCCACGAAUAAACAACAGCAAUUGCGAAAUAUUGGAAACAUUGGUUGACUCGUCAAGUGCUAGGGAAAACCACUCAAACUUCUUAGCCUUUUCAUUCAGCUGGAAAAUUAUAUUACAGACAAUGUCCUCGAUUCUGCGAGCAACUGUGUUCACCGAAAGAUUAAUUGUCUUAAAUAAAUCUACUUUUUCUGGACACAUUUCUUCAGCUGCUUGAAUCAUACAUAUUUUAACUAGCUCGCCAUCAGUAAAUGAUUUUCCUCGUUUUGCUAGUAGGUGUGCCACUUGGAACCUGGCUCUUGUUGCAGCUUUGUUCUCUGUUUUCUUCUUCUUAAAUAUAAACUGUUGUGACGAUAAGCCACAUUUCAUGGAUUCUAAUUUAUCUGAACGUAGCUUUCCCCUAAAUUGAGAGUAGUUUGACAAGUGCUUGGUUUCAUAAUGUCUAUGAAUGUUGUAUUCUUUUAGCACUGCGAUAGUUUUGUUACAUAUUAAACACAAUACUUUACUACCUGAUUUGAUAAGGAAAUAGUCCACACUCCAUUGUUCUUUAAACACGCGACAUUCAGAAUCAACCUUACUCUUCUGUCCUUUUCUCAACAUAAUCGCCCCAAUAGCAAUGGACUUAAACACAAUGAAUAUAUGUUUGUCACUAGUCUGACAUGCGCUAAGACAAAAACCGAGGGAAACAACAACGAAUCAUCACACAUCCGGUUCCUUCUGCCGCUACUAACCUACCUACUGAGUGCUCAUCAGCUCUGCGACCCUGGCAGGAAUGCAGUGACAUCCUUAAGUUCCACCACCGAUCUGUGGUUUCCACUGCUGGCCCCUUGCCAGCCGGGGUCCCGCUGCUGGCCCCACCCAGUGCCCGCUGCUGGCCUGGGUGAAGAAACCCAGGCUGGCAGCGGACUGAGACCCUGGCUGGCAGGAGGCCGUGGCGGGAAAACCCAGGGGUCCCACUGCCUGAUGCAGUGUUGGUUGGGCAGGGGUCGGACAAAUCGAAGCCCACAGACUAUAGUUUGGAGACCCCUGCUCCACAACGAGUAUAAAUUUGCAGUUCUGAUCUCAAAAAUGAUAGCAAAAUACUUCUACACAUUAAACAAGACUGGGGAUAUCAAGAAGCAGUUUGUUAUCUUAGGUUAGAAUUUUAGACUCCAGCACAACUGACAAGUGUAGUUUCAUACCUGUGCAUGCAAUUUGUCAUGCACUCGUGACUUCUGCAACAUACUUGCUACUAGAUGCACAUUAACAGGAUGCAACUUUGUGCCAUCCAUACACAGUCUGUAGGGGCCAGUAGAUCUUUCUUCUGUCUGGGGAGUUUAAAUAUUUCCUCUAUUAGGGAGAUUCCAGAAAGUGUGUUUCUCCCUCUGAGAAUGGCAGCAUGAGCUAAGAGGAUUCAGAGCUGUCAAAAGAAGUUGAAUCUGCUUGUGCAGCUCAGUCGAAGGGAAGAAGAUAGUUGAUGUGUGGCACCAGUUUGCACAAUGACUAUUGUGGAUCUGGAGACUUCAUUUGGGCUGUAUAUAUGGAAAAUCCCCAUUUGCUGAGCAUAUCAGAUGGUUGGUCUAUAAUGUGCAGAUACCCCAAAACACUAUCAUAUCUUUUUUUAAGAGACGGCUGUUGUCGUGUCAGGAAAUGUUUAGACACUUAGACUCAAGAACCUCUGGAUUCCAACUCUCAGAAGAAACUGGGAUAUAUAAGGAUACAGGGUUCUCCUGGUUUCACUAAAAGAAUAUCAUAUAAGGUCUCAUGAAAACGUGGGUCAUACGGGUCCACUCUUAAUCCUUACAAGAUGGAUGGAGGAGUAUUUUAUUUUAUUUAAGGAGUUAUGUAUUUCUAUAUAAAUUAUGUUCUUAAAGCAUGUAAAGUGACAUGCCUCAGAAUGAUUUCACUAGAUAGAAAGCACAUGUGAAUGAAGUAUUCUAAGAUUUACAAUGGAGGCACAUUUAAAUACUGAAUCAAAUGCUAAUAGAAGGAUAUGAAAUCAAAUUGAAAGAUGCACACAGACAGAAACAAGCUGCUGGAGGCUUAUCCUGUUUCCAAACUAAAACAAGGAUUUGGAGAUUAUUACUAGGGGGUGAGGUUGAACUCCCAAUUAUUUCUUCAGUCUGUGAGGACAUGCUUCUGGCAGGCUUGUAAUUAUGAAAGGGGUAUCAACCAAACUAGGACUGUUGAUUAAUGGUAGUUAACCGACAUGAUUAACUCAAAAAAUUAAUCACGAUUAA